GGCGUGCCUAACACAUGCAAGUCGAACGGUAACAGAACUAGCUUGCUAGUUGCUGACGAGUGGCGCACGGGUGAGUAACGCGUGGAUAUCUGCCUAUUAGUGGGGGACAACUUGUGGAAACGCAAGCUAAUACCGCAUAAUCCCUACGGGGGAAAGCAGGGGACCUUCGGGCCUUGUGCUGAUAGAUGAGUCCGCGUCUGAUUAGCUAGUUGGUAAGGUAAAGGCUUACCAAGGCGAUGAUCAGUAUCUGGUUUGAGAGGAUGAUCAGACACACUGGAACUGAGACACGGUCCAGACUUCUACGGAAGGCAGCAGUGGGGAAUAUUGCACAAUGGGCGCAAGCCUGAUGCAGCGACGCCGCGUGUGGGAAGAAGGCCUUCGGGUUGUAAACCACUUUCAAUUGGGAAGAAGGGAUGAGAGUUAAUAACUUUCUGACUUGACGGUACCUUUAGAAGAAGCACCGGCUAAUUUCGUGCCAGCAGCCGCGGUAAUACGAAAGGUGCAAGCGUUGUUCGGAUUUACUGGGCGUAAAGAGAGUGUAGGUGGUUUAUUAAGUCGGAUGUGAAAUCCCGGGGCUCAACCUCGGAACUGCAUUCGAUACUGAUAGGCUAGAGUUUGGGAGGGGUAAGCGGAAUUCCGUGUGUAGCAGUGAAAUGCGUAGAUAUACGGAGGAACACCUGAGGCGAAGGCGGCUUACUGGACCAAUACUGACACUGAGACUCGAAAGCGUGGGUAGCAAACAGGAUUAGAUACCCUGGUAGUCCACGCCCUAAACGAUGUCAACUAGCCGUUGCGGGUAUCGACCCCUGCAGUGGCGAAGCUAACGCGAUAAGUUGACCGCCUGGGGAGUAC
rnacentral:rRNA from 1 species